UGGGUGGAUUAGUGGCGAACGGGUGAGUAACACGUGAGUAACCUGCCCUUAACUCUGGGAUAAGCCUGGGAAACUGGGUCUAAUACCGGAUAUGANUCCUCAUCGCAUGGUGGGGGGUGGAAAGCUUUUUGUGGUUUUGGAUGGACUCGCGGCCUAUCAGCUUGUUGGUGAGGUAAUGGCUUACCAAGGCGACGACGGGUAGCCGGCCUGAGAGGGUGACCGGCCACACUGGGACUGAGACACGGCCCAGACUCCUACGGGAGGCAGCAGUGGGGAAUAUUGCACAAUGGGCGCAAGCCUGAUGCAGCGACGCCGCGUGAGGGAUGACGGCCUUCGGGUUGUAAACCCCUUUCAGUAGGGAAGAAGCGAAAGUGACGGUACCUGCAGAAGAAGCG
rnacentral:rRNA from 1 species